GAUGAAGAACGUAGCGAAAUGCGAUACUUGGUGUGAAUUGCAGAAUCCCGUGAACCAUCGAGUCUUUGAACGCAAGUUGCGCCCGAAGCCACUAGGCCGAGGGCACGCCUGCCUGGGCGUCACACGCCGUUGCCCCCCCAUCUACUCCUUCGGGAUUGCGGGGGGGCGGAUGAUGGCCUCCUGUGCGCCUAGCCGCGCGGUUGGCAUAAAUACCAAGUCCUCGGCGACGCACGCCACGACAAUCGGUGGUGGCGAAACCUCGGUUGCCCGUCGUGUGCGUUCGUCGCGCAUCGAGGGCUCGAAAAAAUGCUCGGCUCCGGCUGGGCUUUCAACGCGACCCCAGGUCAGGCGGGGUUACCCGCUGAAUUUAAGCAUAUCAAUAAGCGGAGGA
rnacentral:misc_RNA from 1 species